rnacentral:rRNA from 1 species
UACGUAGGGGGCAAGCGUUGUCCGGAAUCAUUGGGCGUAAAGCGCGUGUAGGCGGCUUGGUAAGUCUGCUCUGAAAGCCCGGGGCUCAACCCCGGGAGGCGGGUGGAUACUGUCAAGCUCGAGUCCGGAAGAGGAGUGUGGAAUUCCUGGUGUAGCGGUGGAAAUGCGCAGAUAAUCAGGAGGAACACCAAUGGCGAAGGCAGCACUCUGGGACGUGACUGACGCUGAGACGCGAAAGCGUGGGAGCAACA